CCGCAUGCCAGUCUUGGAGGUGGACUCUGCCCUUAGACUUCCUGCAAAGAAAAUUUACUCCACAAGGGAGAGAUUGCAGAUUUUACUGAAGAUUUCCAUUGCCAACCUCUCAGUGGAAUCUUCAGUCCCAGUGUGGAUGCAGUAGAAUGAAGCCAUAUAGCAGGAUUUUGUUCUGACAUCAACAUGGAAGUUCUGGAGGUUAGACAAGGUGUCAGCCUGAUGGAUUUCUUCUGGAAGUCUCAGAAGGACAGUUUGAUAUGGACAGCGACAGUGAACUUAAAGGCUAAAUUCUUGAGUCUCAAAUGGCAAGAAGAGAAGACAGCGUCCUAAUGAGGAAGAAAUUUCUCAGCUGGGAAACGAGUGUACCUUGGGGACUGAUGGUUUUUGCUCUUUUCUUCUCCCCACUGACUUUGACUUAUCUCUCCCUACUGUCAAGUCCGUAGUGGUGACAUCCGCCUCUCAUUGGUAAAAUAUGAAUUAUUACCACCACCAGGAAGAAAGGACAGUCUGAGAUCUUUGCUGCGAAGGUGUUCUGCUUCUGUUUGCCCAGCAGCAGCUUGCAAGCAUAGCACUUGGUACACAUUGGACUCUCUACCAGUAUUGGUGAUAAAGUGGUGUAACAAUGUCACAGCGCUAAGCCAGAAGACAGGACUACUGAGUCACUUGUUGGAAAAUGGAUGGAUCUUGACACCACGAUGCAAAGUGUUUCUCUCUAUGUAUGAUCAAGAUCCGUGCUGGGAAAGCCCAAAGGUCUGCAGUGGAAGCUAGAAAGUCUAUGCCAGCGGGUGAAGGAGCUGUGCUGGUAGGAUGAGGGUUCUACGCUGGAGCCAAGAAGUCACACUCACAGCAAAGACUAGGACUGUCCUGAAGGGCACCACAGCUGUCCUCAGCGACAUGGAGGCCCUGAGCUCCUCCUCCAACAGGCACAGUCGGGUACAUGCCAAGAAGCCAGCGUGACGAGUUCAUCCUGGAGACCAAGCAGCACAUAUCUUCUCUGGAGCCAGGAAGCAAUGCUUGAUGUGAGGACCAGAGCUUCUCCAGGAGAACCAAUGGUUCAAACAGCAACAUGUAGGAGAACCCACGGUGCCCAACAUCUAAACGCCAUAGCUUCUCCUUCUCUACGUCUCUAUUUAUGUUGGCAACUUUCCUUAGGUGGCACAUCCACGCUCUGCACCAUGCUGAUAUAAUCUAACUGGUGUUAAGUUGACCACCAAUUUUUAAUCCAUAAUACUCCUUCUUCAGAGUUCUGAGUGGCUGAGGUCAGAAAAGUGGCAGAGGUGUCCUCAGCACCAGGGUCAAGUCCCAGAGAACAGACUGUGCUUUCUGUUGCAGAAAGACAAAUGCAAGGCUGUGGGACUUCAGACAGUGUGAGGGGGUGAAAUGGUUACCAUGUUAGUUGUGCUAAUGUUACUUCAGCUCCACCUCCCAGCAGCUGAGUCCCAUUGCUGGAGGAACUUAAUUCCCUUGCCUUUACCUGGAAGAGGAUGAUGAGGGCACCUUCAAGGACUUUGCAACCCUAAAUUUCUGUGAUUGCUACCUGGAUGUUGAAUAGAAUAGAUUCAACCUGUGGAAAGGUCUUUUUACUAAGACACCCAAACCAAUGUGAAAUAUUUUCUGAUACACUCUCUCCCACCAAAAAUAAAGUAAAAUACAAUGCAUGGUAUGAUAUAUAUGAAGUGUAUAUUCCUAAGAAAGUUUGGUAUGGUGGCACAUACCUAUGAUCCCAGCACUUGGGAGGCUGUGGCAGGAGGGUCAUCCUGAGUUUGAGGCCAGCCUGGGCUACAUAGUAAGUUCAAGGCUAGUCUGAAGUACAUAAUGAGAUCCCAUCUCAAAGCAAAAAUUGUAUAUUAAAGUGUGGUAUAAUAGGGACAUUCAUUGAGGAAAUAUUGAAUGAAUGGAAGAGUGAAGGCUGAUAUCUCUUUUUU